rnacentral:lncRNA from 10 species
CUCGGCUCACUGCAACCUCUGCCUCCUGGGUUCAAGUGAUUCUCCUUUCUCAGCCUCCCAACUAGCUGGGAUUACAGGUGUGAGCCACCAUGCUCGGCUAAUUUUUGUAUUUUUAUCAGAGACGGGAUUUCACCAUAUUGGUCAGGCUGGUCUCAAACUCCUGACCUCAGGUGAUCCACCCGUCUUGGCCUGGGAUUACAGGUGUGAGCCAUUGCACCCAGCCCGUGCUUUCUAUUUUAAAGGAAAGUAAUAUGUGUAAGGUUAAUUCAAGGCAUACAAGUGUCACUAAAGAUUUUGAUCUUGGAAUCAAAGCAUUUCUCUUAGCCCAUAUACCUGCAGCUGAAUUUUACUGAAAAUAUUUUGAAAAUUAAUUCAUUAAUUAAUGCCAACUCGUCAUCUCCCUAUACUCUCCCUCUAUCCUUAUACUACUGGGGAGAGCAAGUCAUUGGACAGUCAAGGCAAAUAGCCAUUUUCUCGAAUUUUGGAUCCUGAGAGCUGUGAGUGUUACAGUCAAGUGGCUCAUAUUUGAUCUCCUUCCUCCGUCCUCAAGGUUUAGGCAGAAUCUAGCCUCUUUACCUUUUUACUCUGGGAUUCCUAUUUUAAGUCAUUUAACAGAGGACUAUUGCUAACUCAGGGACAACACUUCCCUCUGACAUGAAUUUCAUUUAUUUAUCGUACAUUCAUUGAGCAGCAUUUAUCAUAAAACAAAACAGGAUUUGCAUACAAUUUGCUUUUUAUUGUUUGUCACCUCAUUUUAUCCUUUCAACUUUCAUGUAAAAUAUUAUUCCUGGUUUUAUUUUAAUAGAGGAAAAAAAAAACAGAUUUCAAAUGUGCCCGUGGACUUCGAGCUGGUGCGUUCAGUGGCAAAGCUGGAAUUCAAAUCUCAGGGCUCCUGCUCUGGGCUUCUUCUCCAUGAAACUUGGAGGAAAAGAAAAAGGAAGACACUCUUACUGGUCAGAGGAGAGAACACAAUUCCUUCAGUGGAACCAGUAAUUCAAGCUACUGCAUAUGCCAAUUAAAGACCAAUCUGGGGAAAGGUGGAUGCCCUGGGCUCCAUCUGCCAUUCAACCACUGAUUACGGCCUUGUACGGAUGGACUUUCAGCAGCAGGAACCCAAAAUCAUUGGUGAAAUAGGAAAGCUAUUGUACAGAUAUUAGAAAAAUAAGACCUUCACAGUCAUCAGAAAAGUUAUCACUUAAUGUCAUGUGUCAUCAGUCCUUUCUUGUGAUUGAUUAUGUUUGUAUACAUGCACUUGAAAUGUGUUUUUAAAAGAGUAUUAUAAGAGAUAUUUUUCCAGUAAGUACAAUAAGCAUUCAAUAGUAGAACAAAUAGAACAUUGAUAUCUCAUUAUUAGUAUUGCUCACAUGUGUAUUAUGAGGCAGAAUUAAAGCUGAAAUGCAAUAAGAGCCAUAUUUUAUCAUAAUAGAUAUUUUUCAUUUUCUGAAAUAAUAUAAUAAAAUAAUGUGGUUGGUUAAAGUAUGUACACACAGGCUAUCAAUUAAGAUGUUUUAAAUUUAAUUAAAUAUUAAAUAAUAAAAGCCACAAGGGGAAGUAAGGGAAGUAAGACAAUUCUUUCUUUAACAUACAACACAUUUAAAUGUUUUCUGAUAAUUAUAGAAAUAUCAAAAUCAGAUCAAUCUUCAUACCUCAGAAAAUUAAAUGAUUAAAUACUGGAGACUAUUAAAACAAAUAAAACUGUUUAUUCCACAACUUUGCACAGCUAAAAAAAAAUCUUCUAUCAUGUCUAGAAACAUGUUUCUGACAUAUGCACACCUCACCAGCAUAUCUCAGGUUAUUAUACACCUCCAACCACAGCCUCACGGUGGCAGGCAGUCAGUAAGAUGGACCCCAGUGAUCCCUGCCUCCUGGUAUUCACAGUCUAGGGUAAUCUCCUUCCCUUGAGUGUGAGCCUGUGGCUUACUUCUAACCAAUAAGAGUACAGCAAAAGCAAUGGGAUGUCAAUUCUGUGAGUAUGUAAAAUUGUAACUUCCAUCUUGCAAGCCAACUCUCUUCUUUGCUGGCUUUCAUGACGCAAUAUACCAUGUUGGAGGGGCUCGCGUGGCGAAGAACUGAGAGGCCUGUAGGAACAAAGUCCAAUAGCCAGGUAGGAAGGAGUCCCUCAGUCCCACAACCCAAGGAAACUGAAUUCUGUCAACUAACACGCAUGUAAGUGAGCUUGGAAGUGACUUCUUCCCCAAGUGAGUCUUCAGAUGAGGUCCUAGCCAACUUUUUGAUUGCAGCUUGUGACAGACCCUGAAGCAAAGGACUCAGCUAAGUUGUGUCCUAAUUCCUCCACUGUGAGAAAAUAAAUGUGUGUUUUUUAAAAUGCUAAAUUUGUGGUAAUUUCUUAUUCAGUAAUAGAUAGCUAAUACAUGCGUGUACAUACAAACACACGCACACACACUGUAUUUGGCUUUCACACUGAGGAGAACACAGUUAGUAGGCCCUUUUCAUGUGGCUUUUAAGGAGGCAUAAUUACUUUUCUUCGUCUGUGAUCCACCUUUGUGUUCUUCAGGUUCUUUUCCAGGCCUUUGCCCCGAGUGUGUGGGGGACCAAAGGGACGUCAUGCUAUAUGGAUGGUAUUGCAAAUUCAUAUCCUUGGAUCUGAAAGUAGUCCUAGAACAUAUCCUAAGGAGAUCAUCUAUCAAGAUUAGAGAAUUUCCUUCAUGAUGUUGUUUAUCGUGGCAAAACUAGGAACAACCUGAAUACCAGUCCCUCCAAGAAGCUAUUGAAUAAUAUGGGUAUCCCUGUUCAGGAAAAAUGCAAACAAACCACUAAAAAGAGUAAAAUAAUCUUUAUUGAUAUGAAAAGAUGUUUAAUGUUUACUAUUACAUUUUUAAAAGAAGUUAAAAAUCUCAUUAAAAACUAGUUUAAAAUCCACUCUUAUUCCAUGCUUGUAUUAUAGAUAAUAUAUAUGUAGUUUUUUUUAAGUAGAAAAAUUUCUGGAAAAACACUUAUUAAAAUGCUAUUUGUUUUCUAUGAAUAGAGUAAAACCAGAUAAGUGAAAGAAAAUACCCGUGUUUUCUAUAUUUUCUACGAUGUUUAUUCCUGAAUAGAUGUUUCAAGGCUUUCAUUAUGUUCAUAGAUUAAUUGAAGUGAAUGGAAACUGUUUCUUAGACAACCUAAAAUAUAUCCCAAUUCCAAAGUCCAGGUCUGUCUUCAUUGCUUCGAGUGCAGUUGUAUGAAAUACUUCUCAGUGAGGCCAAAUUUCUUAAUAAUGAUUAAUUCCAGUUUCAUUUUUCACCCUCUUCAUUCCAUUUGAGAAGAGUAGUGGAAAGGAGUAUGGUACCAUACCCCACACUUUAGACCUAUGGUCUUGUAGAACUUCUUAGGGAUCUACUUUGAUAAAAAUUUAAUUUGCUGGUUACAUCAGAUGAUGUCACACAGUUAAUGAGCAUUCUCUCCUAUGCUGUACCUUCUCUGUUCUACUAAUAUAGCUAUGGUCAAUUUUUCUAUCAUGGAGAAGAAUCUGUGGAUAACUCCUACUAUUUU